CGUAGGCAUCAAGCGUUGUCCGGAUUUAUUGGGCGUAAAGAGCUCGUAGGCGGCUCAGUUAGUCGGGUGUGAAAACUCAGGGCUUAACCCUGAGACGCCACUCGAUACUGCUGAGCUAGAAUUCGGUAGGGGAGUGGGGAAUUCCUGGUGUAGCGGUGAAAUGCGCAGAUAUCAGGAGGAACACCGGUGGCGAAGGCGCCACUCUGGGCCGACAUUGACGCUGAGGAGCGAAAGCGUGGGUAGCAAACAGGAUUAGAUACCCUGGUAGUCCACGCCGUAAACGGUGGGCACUAGGUGUGGGUUCCAACCAACGGAAUCCGUGCCGUCGCUAACGCAUUAAGUGCCCCGCCUGGGGAGUACGGCCGCAAGGUUA
rnacentral:rRNA from 1 species